rnacentral:rRNA from 1 species
GAUGAACGCUGGCGGCGUGCCUAAUACAUGCAAGUCGAGCGAACGGACGAGAAGCUUGCUUCUCUGAUGUUAGCGGCGGACGGGUGAGUAACACGUGGAUAACCUACCUAUAAGACUGGGAUAACUUCGGGAAACCGGAGCUAAUACCGGAUAAUAUUUUGAACCGCAUGGUUCAAAAGUGAAAGACGGUCUUGCUGUCACUUAUAGAUGGAUCCGCGCUGCAUUAGCUAGUUGGUAAGGUAACGGCUUACCAAGGCAACGAUGCAUAGCCGACCUGAGAGGGUGAACGGCCACACUGGAACUGAGACACGGUCCAGACUCCUACGGGAGGCAGCAGUAGGGAAUCUUCCGCAAUGGGCGAAAGCCUGACGGAGCAACGCCGCGUGAGUGAUGAAGGUCUUCGGAUCGUAAAACUCUGUUAGUAGGGAAGAACAUAUGCGUAAGUAACUGUGCACAUCUUGACGGUACCUAAUCAGAAAGCCACGGCUAACUACGUG